rnacentral:rRNA from 1 species
GACGAACGCUGGCGGCGUGCUUAACACAUUCAAGUCGAACGGAAAGGCCUCUUUCGGGGGGUACUCGAGUGGCGAACGGGUGAGUAACACGUUAGUAACCUUCCCUUUACUUUGGGAUAACUUCAGGAAACUGGGGCUAAUACCGGAUAGGAGCUCCUGCUGCAUGGUGGGGGUUGGAAAGUUUCGGCGGUUGGGGAUGGACUCGCGGCUUAUCAGCUUGUUGGUGGGGUAGUGGCUUACCAAGGCUUUGACGGGUAGCCGGCCUGAGAGGGUGACCGGCCACAUUGGGACUGAGAUACGGCCCAGACUCCUACGGGAGGCAGCAGUGGGGAAUAUUGCACAAUGGGUGGAAGCCUGAUGCAGCAACGCCGUGUGCGGGAGGACGGCCUUCGGGUUGUAAACCGCUUUCGCUCAUGACGAAGCUUUGUGUGACGGUAGUGGGUAAAGAAGCACCGGCUAACUACGUG